GACUGAGGGUUCGUUGAAUGUGAGCAGCAAACCAUCUAGAAAUUCAUGCACUUCAACCGGGUCGACUCUGUCUUCUCGCUCCCAGCUCACUGCUCUGCUCCCUCCCUUUCUUCUCCUCGAUGUCCAUUGCCCCGCACACCAUUCUGCGCCCGUUCGGCGUGAAACCGUGCGCCGCCGGCGGCGGCUAUCUGAGGCGGCACGCACGGCCGUGCCUCCUCCGUGCGAGCCCCGUCAGUGCACCGGACGGGAAUGAGCCGGGCGGUAGCAAGAAGAGUAGGAGGAAGAGGCCGGCGGAGGAGUCGCGGUUGGAGGUUCUUUACGAUGACGGGUUCGGGAGCGUCACCAUGAAGGACUAUUGGGAGGCGGUGAGGGCCAUGCCCAAGGACGACGGCGGGCCGCCGCGGUGGUUCUGCCCAGUGGAGUGCGGCCGGCCGGAGGUGGACAGGGCGCCGCUGCUGCUCUUCUUGCCAGGAAUCGAAGGUGUUGGAAUGGAGCUCAUUUUGCACCACAAAUCUUUGGGCAAAGUAUUCGAGGUUUGCUGCUUCCAUAUACCAGUAAAUGACCGUACACCAUUUCAAGGUUUAUUACAAAUUGUGGAAGAAUAUGUCAAACAUGAGAAUGCUUUGUCCCCAAGCAGACCAAUAUAUAUAAUUGGGGAUUCUUUUGGUGGAUGUCUUGCAAUUUCAGUGGCAGCUCACAAUCCAGAAAUCGACUUGGUUCUUACACUAGUAAAUCCAGCAACAUCAUCUGCAAAAGCUUCGUUGCAGGCAGUAUUGCCUCUUUUGGAAGUAGUGGCGACCAACCUUCCAUUUAUACAUCCUCACCUUCUCAAAUAUUCAAUGGGUAAUCCUCUUAAUAUGGCUAUGGUUAGCCUUGAGAAUAGUCUUUCUCCACAAGAGACUCUACAAGAAUUUUCAAACAAACUCACUUCAAUGCUACCUUUAGUUUCCGAACUAGAAGAUAUAAUACCAAUGGGUGCCCUCAUGUGGAGACUUAAUCUUCUCAAGUCAGGUGCAGACUAUGCCAACUCACAACUUCACAUGGUACAAGGAGAAGUUCUACUUCUUGCAAGUGGGAGUGGGAAUCUGCCACCUAGUGGAGAAGCAGACCGACUAUUUAAGUCACUGAAAAAUUGCAAAGUUCGGUACUUUAGGAACCGGGGCGACAGACUACUCAUGGAGGAUGGCUUCAACCUUCUAACUGUCAUAAAAGGGGUAAAAAUGUACCGCCGUGGUAGACAAUGGGACUGUGUGAACGAUUUCCUGUCACCCACAUUAAGUGAAUUCAACAGAACAUUUGGUGAAGAUUUCAAACUGUUUCAUCAGUUAUUGAGCCCAGCCAUGCUCUCUACAAUGAAAAAUGGGAAAAUUGUCCAUGGCCUUGCCGGUGUUCCUGACAAAGGUCCUGUCUUGUUUGUGGGAUAUCACCAACUCUUGGCCAUGGAGUGGGCUGCACUAAUCGAAGGGUUCUUAAGGGAGAAAAGAACAGUUAUCCGAACAGGGGCCCAUCAAGUAUUUUUUGCUGGAAAUUAUGAGACACUACGCCAGGAGUUGUCUCUGUUUGAUUUUGUUUCUAUGUACGGCGCGGUUCCAGUCAGUCCGAUCAAUACGUACAAAUUGUUUGAGAGAAAUGAAUUUGUUCUCCUCUAUCCAGGCGGUGUGAGAGAAGCUCUACAUAGGAAGGGCGAAGCAUACAAAUUGUUUUGGCCAGAUCAAACCGAAUUUGUAAGAAUGGCAGCACGGUUUGGAGUUACCGUCAUACCAUUUGGUUGUGUGGGAGAAGAUGACUUUUUGGAGAUAGUUGUGGACUACAAUGAUCAAAAGAACAUACCCUAUAUCAGAGACGAGAUAAAGUCAUUCAACAGAGAUUUAACAAGAUUAAGGUUAGGUUUCUAUUACACUGUCCAUUUUUCCUUCGAUAAACAAACAAUCAAGUAUCUCCUUAGAAAGUUAGUUACCAAUCUCAAGCCUUGGUGCCACUUCACCUCCAUUAUAUGAGGAAUAAAAACCUUGGUCACCUUCUUUGUGAAUUUUGGUUUCAGGGACACUGUGAAAGGAGAGGAUGGGAAUCAAGUCUUGCAUCUGCCUGUUGUUCUGCCAAAAUUACCAGGGCGGCUAUAUUUCCUAUUUGGGAAGCCAAUCGAGAUGAAAGGAAUGGACAAUGUGUUGACAGAUAGGAAGAAGGCAAACCAAGUAUAUUUUCAAAUUGAAACAGAAGUGGAGAAUGCAAUAUCUUACCUAAAGAGGAAGAGAAACGAAGAUCCUUACCGGAGUAUUGCACGACGUGCGUUGUACCAGGCAACUUGGGGUCCUUCUGCUCAAGUGCCUACUUUCGAACCGUGAAAGAUUGGGUUAGGGCUUGUUUGCUUAGGCUAACUAGGCCAUGACUUUCAUGUUUAAUUGUCAGUUGAGCCAACUUCCAUGGACUUAGCACGAUGAAAGAAACCAAGUUGGGACCAAUCUAAUGAAGUUACGAGAACCAGAAUCAUGCCUUUUGGAGAGAUCAUGGUGAUGUGUGUGAUAUGAAGGUGUGGCAGUACUCACAUAUCUAAUUAUUGACUCCGUGCUCACAUAGUUCGUAUCCCAUAGAUGUGUCUUUACUAAAGGUUGUGUACCUACACAAUUAAGUAUCUUAAAUAGUAGUGAAAACUCUAGACUCUCUGAGAACGCAUUCCCAUCAUUUGCAGUUCCUCUCUAGUUACUCUGUCAUUUAGUCUUAGUAUUUAUUUGACAUUCUAGUUCAUACUUAGUUAAUUCACUUAUUUAGCAUAC
rnacentral:rRNA from 1 species